AUUAAAUCCAAACCUGGCCGCAUUCCUUUCCAUUUUAUCAAUCUUGCUUAGGGUUUUCAUUCUCAGAUUUGCUUUAAUUUUGUUGUCCUACCGUUUGAAAACAUGAUUUCGAAGCGCUUUCCAUUUUUUUUACUAUCUUUUCUGCUUGAUUUGAUGAUGAAAGAAAUGGACGGAUCCGAAACAUGAUCUUCAACGGUAGCAAGAUCGGAAACAUGAUCUUCAACGGUAACAAGCUUGGCGGUGAAGUUUGAAAUAUACGAAGCAGGAUCUUCAACGGUAACAAGAUCCGAAACAUGAUCUUCAGCGGUAACAAGCUUGGCGGUGAUGUUUGAAAUAUCCGAAGCAUGAUCUUCAACGGUAACAAGCUUGGCGGUGAAGCUCCAACGGCUAGAUUUUGGGAUACCCACUCCCAUCUAUCUAUAAAUAAGCAUCACCAGUAGGUUCAUCAUCUAUCUAAGCUUUUCAGCAUCCUCUCCUCUGUCCUUUUGCUUUUAAUUUUUUGUGCUUUGAUUGAUUCUUUAAACCAUGGAAUCAAAUUCACGAAAGAGAAAGGGAUUUCUCAACCCUUUGAGAAAUCCCAUUUCCAACUCCGGGGAAUGGAGAGCUCGGAAGAUGCAAGAAAGUCCUCUCAUGAAACCCAUCUCUAAUGGGGAUCAAUGGAGGGAAUUAAUCAGGGAGGAUGAUCUGCCUAGUCUCGACCAAGACACAGAUCAUGAUCUGCUGCUGCUGCUCCUCAAAUACAAGGUACAUAUCUUGUUGGAGAUGGUGAAGCUUUUCACCAAUGGCAGUCCAAAAUAGCUCGUUUUCGUAUCUAGGAUAUACAGGAGAUUAGUAUGAUUUAUCCUAAACUUAAGGAUAAUUUAGUUUUGUAAUUUUCCCUAUUUUCUUUAUAUAGAAAUUCAAUUUUGUUAAAUGGAUAAGGAAUGCUCUGUUCCUCUUUCUCAAA